GGUGUGCAGAGGUGGAGGAACAUUUAGUAAACUACUUACUCUCCCCUGACCGAUACAACAAGCUGAUCCGUCCGGCAGUCAACAAGAGCCAGCAGGUCACCAUUGCAAUCCAAGUGUCCCUUGCCCAGCUCAUCAGUGUGAAUGAGAGAGAGCAGAUCAUGACCACAAACUGUUGGCUCACUCAGGUAUGGAAUGAUUACCGGUUGAUGUGGGAUCCAGAGGAG